rnacentral:tRNA from 1 species
UUUUCCUUAGCUAAAGUAUAUAGUGUUAGUUUGAAGAGCUGAAGUUACAUGUGAAUGUGGGAAGA